rnacentral:rRNA from 1 species
UACGUAGGGUGCAAGCGUUUGUCCGGAAUUAUUGGGCGUAAAGAGCUCGUAGGCGGUCUGUCGCGUCGGAUGUGAAAAAUCCAGGGCUCAACCCUGGACCUGCAUUCGAUACGGGCAGACUAGAGUUCGGUAGGGGGAGACUGGAAUUCCUGGUGUAGCGGUGAAAUGCGCAGAUAUCAGGAGGAACACCGGUGGCGAAGGCGGGUCUCUGGGCCGAAACUGACGCUGAGGAGCGAAAGCGUGGGGAGCAAACAGG